rnacentral:rRNA from 1 species
GAUGAACGCUGGCGGCGUGCCUAAUACAUGCCAGUCGAGCGAACAGACGAGGAGCUUGCUCCUCUGACGUUAGCGGCGGACGGGUGAGUAACACGUGGAUAACCUACCUAUAAGACUGGGAUAACUUCGGGAAACCGGAGCUAAUACCGGAUAAUAUAUUGAACCGCAUGGUUCAAUAGUGAAAGACGGUCUUGCUGUCACUUAUAGAUGGAUCCGCGCUGCAUUAGCUAGUUGGUAAGGUAACGGCUUACCAAGGCAACGAUGCGUAGCCGACCUGAGAGGGUGAUCGGCCACACUGGAACUGAGACACGGUCCAGACUCCUACGGGAGGCAGCAGUAGGGAAUCUUCCGCAAUGGGCGAAAGCCUGACGGAGCAACGCCGCGUGAGUGAUGAAGGUCUUCGGAUCGUAAAACUCUGUUAUUAGGGAAGAACAAAUGUGUAAGUAACUAUGCACGUCUUGACGGUACCUAAUCAGAAAGCCACGGCUAACUACGUG